UACGUAGGGUGCAAGCGUUGUCCGGAAUUAUUGGGCGUAAAGAGCUCGUAGGCGGUCUGUCGCGUCUGCUGUGAAAACUCAGGGCUUAACCCUGAGCUUGCAGUGGGUACGGGCAGACUAGAGUGCGGUAGGGGAGACUGGAAUUCCUGGUGUAGCGGUGAAAUGCGUAGAUAUUGGGAGGAACACCAGUGGCGAAGGCGGCUCGCUGGACCGGUUCUGACGCUGAGGCGCGAAAGCGUGGGGAGCAAACGGG
rnacentral:rRNA from 1 species